rnacentral:lncRNA from 1 species
CAUGGAGGAUGCUGUGAUGAGUUCGUGAGAGGUCUAGGCCGUCGUCUCCCAGUCAACUUUGGGUUGCUGGACCGUUGUCUCCUUAUAAUGUAAUUAUUUAUUUAUUUUGUAUAGAACUCCUAUUAUAUAGUAAAGAUGUGACAUUCGAUCCUGUGCCAUGAUUCAUCAUAUGUGUGAGACUUGGUCCCAGCACACCUGGUGAUUAUGUUUACGCCCGGGCUUUGGACCCCUAAAACCCGGGUGUUACAGAAGUGGUAUCAGAGGAAUGUUGACUGUAGGACGAAACCUAGAUAGAAAUGGACAACCCUUACUUACUUACCUUUGCUGCUCUGAUUCUUUCUAAACUGCCCUUAAUCUUUUCCCCAUCUACUGCUGCUUUACUCUGAUUACUCUUACCUUUUCACUUCUAAAGACAAAUGUGGAUUUCACACUUUGAAAUCCUUAACCUAAAGUGACUUUAGGAAUAGGAGACCUAAUCUUAGGGACAAAAACAAAACUAUUUUUAUCUAUGUGCUUGAAUGUUUGUUAUUAUGAUACUUGUCUGAUUUGGAUCGUUGAUUGAGUGGGAUGAGUUGUGGAGUAGUGUCCACAAUUGCAUCUACAUAUACUUAGGCAUAUAUAUAACUAAUCAAACUUAGAUUGUCCCUCAUUAAAAAUGUAUCUAGCUUAAUAGAUCCACCUUAUCUUAAAAGAUCUAUCUCAUCUUAAUAGAUCCAUCUUAUCCCGAAAAGAUUCUAUCAUAUCCUAAUAGAUCUUACUAACCUCAAAAGAUUCCAUCUUAUCUUUAUGGAUCCAUCCUAUCCUAAUAAGCAUACUUAUCCACCCUAGUUUAACAACCAUGAUCUAAUGCAAAUUAAUUAGAUCUUAUCUAGUCAAGCUAGUCAUACCAAUCUAAUCUAGAUCCCAUCUAAUCUACUAUGAUCCAAUUUAAAGAGAGUGACCUAAGAAGUUAGUUAAUCCUGGUGAAAUACAUUAGACCCUGCUCCUAUAAACAAGUUUGAGAUCCUAGAUCAACUCGGCCAUACCCAACAACCUGACCUACAUAAUAGAUCUAUCUUAACCUCUUGUCCCAACCCCGGAUGGAGACACCAAAGAGCAAGAAGGAGGAGAUCAACCUCGACAUGGAAGAAUAGGAGUCAAAUCAGAUCUCGAGAUGAUUCAAAUUUACCACCUUGGACGGAGUCUUCCCUUACCAAGUUCUUCUUACCAUCAGCUAACCUCACUCUGACCAUCUCUCUUCUUACCUGUGUGUCUAAACAUAGAAGAUACCCAUGCAUUUCUAAGUACUUGCUAAAUAGUAUUUUAAAAAGAGAAAGAGAGAGACUCUUAAUUUUUGAAUCCAUUAGAAACUACAAUCUCAAUUAUAAACCAACCUCGGUAUAACCCUUCUGCUUACUAAUCUCGAGGACGAGAUUAUUUUUAAGGGGGGUAGGAUUUGUAAAGCCCAAAAUUUGCAUAAGACAAUAAAUAAAUAUAUAAAUAAAAUAGUAAGUUCAAAUAUCUCAACUUAUACUUGAGUAAUGAAUGUUGUGGACUGAAUUUUGAAACUGAGAAGUAAUUUAUAAAAUAUAGAAAGGUUUCUAUUCAACUAAAUAAUUGUGCAUAUCAUUAAAUGAUGCACCAUAAGCAUUUAUUUAUAUGAAUAUCUAAUUUUGAAGUAACUUUUACUUCUCAUUCCACAUUCAAAGUACUAUUUUUCUAAAUGAGAAAGAAAACAAUUUAUGGAACCAUUUAUUCCUUUGGUAAAUAGAUGACAAGGAAAAGAAUAGAAAAAAAAUAUUGUAAACAAUAGAUUUUAUAUUAGGAAUUAUUGUGACACUUGAAAAGUUGAAGUUCAAAACAUGUUUGAAUUUAAACUGAAUUUGAAAAGAAAACAGAAAAGAUAAAAGAAAAAAAAUAGAGAAACCGCGCCUGGGCCAAUUCUGCACAAUUCGGCCCACUCUCCCCUCCCCUCACCAGCCCGCCACUCGCCCUGCCACUGACAAUGAUGCCCCACUGGCCGGCUCCUCACCGCGUGCGCUAGGUACUCUAAUCGCUGACUGACGAUUGGGCCCGCAUCGUCAGGCACUUCUUCUCCGCGGUCGGAAUCGUCCCUUUCCCCUCGCGUUCGCAUGAACUAAACCCAGGAGUCCGCGUGGAUCAGUGGAUGUCGCUAGUCGUUCCAACAACCCGGCCGGAAAUCCCGCGCGUGCCUGAGCCAUCGGCGGUCUUCGCGUGAGUUCCACGGCCAACCAUAACCGGUUAUCGCGGAUCCCUGGGGCUCGAGGCCAUAUAUCUAGGACGCGUGACCUCCUCUCCUUCUGCCCAUCCAUGGCGCUCGGCAACCAUCGCCCCUGCUCCUCUUCCUUGGAGGCCGGGCGGGGCUCCCUCCAUGGGCGAGCCUCCAACCUUCCCUGUGUACUCUCUCGAACCCAAGUGCAAGGUGCCCCCGCGUGCUCUAUGGCCGCACGUGCCUGGCCUUGCCAUCUGUGGAGCUCGGCAGCCGGAGCCGCGUAUCCGCCCCGGCUGUGGUCGACCGGCUUCGCUUCAUUAAUCUGGGUAAGUAACCCUCUUCAACGUUCACUCUUGUCCCUGCUACGCAUAGAGCUCGUUGCCUUAGGAACUCGUGCAUCAGAGGCUUGGAUUUGGGUGUGCACCGUUGAUGCGCCACCGUGCGGGCUGACCGACGCCGCCGCCGUGCUCGGUUUUUGGCGGAGGAAGGAGGCGAUGGGUGGACCGUUGAUUCGGCUAUGGAUGGAUGUGAUCGUGCUUCGCGUACCCCCUUCAUGUGUCAGAGUCUGACCGUUGGAUCUGAUCGGAUGUACGAGAUUCUCUCUCGGCUAUUUAAAUCAUGGGCGUUGGUCCCUGAUCGAACGGCACACAAUACGUACCGGUUCGUCGUAGCGGGCUUUUAAUCUGGGUCCUCGGUUCUGGAUCGGGCGGCUCAGAUUCCAUCUUACCCCUUUGCCGUGGUCAUUUUCUAAACGAGCCCCUCGGAUUUCGAUGAAUUAACCCGCCGUCCAAUUGCACUAUUCUCUGAGUCUUAGAAAACUUACGCUAGAGCCCCUGCGUUCCUCUGUUUUUGACGCCCAGUCCAGAGAACAGUAAAAAUAGGAAAUUAAUUGUAGAAAAUGAUUUUUAAUACAAAAAUAAUUCUAGAAACUUGUAAAAUUCAUAGAAAAUUCAUAUUAAACCCUUUUGGGUCCAUUCCAGUGACAUUAAUUUUGUAUUAGUAUUUUCUACCAACCAUAACAUUGUUUAGCCAUGAAACUUGAACUAAAAUUAUCCACAUGAGUUAUGCUAUUCCAAGUACCUAAUAAUUCCAGAAAUUCAUAACUUGGUACCCGUAACUCCGAAUUUAGUAAUUCUUGUACUCACGAUCUCGUUAUACAACGUAGAAUAUUAAUACACAGUUUAUUCUUAUGUUUGGUGUGAUGUUAAUUUUGUCUAUACCAUGCUUGUUUGUGUUGCUACGACUAGCGCGAGGUUACGAGUCACCUGAAGAUCAUCCUGGUACCUGGAAUCUCAAGUCCCAGGCAAGUUGUGCCCUUGAUCACUUCUUUUUACCCACUCAUGUUCUAAUUAAUCAUAAUGAUCUGCAUAGGUUUAAUUUUGAUGGGACCCAAUAGGUCACCCUAGUUUGUUUAUCCUGAAUACCUUGUUUACCCCUGAAUCACUUGGGUAGUUCUGCUACUGCUUUAUAUGGUUUUGGGUUAAUAUUUCAUUAUAUCUAUGUUCCAAUUAUGUUGUUAUUUUAUUUAUGUUCAUGACAAGAUCAUUAAAUGUUAAUUGGAACAUAGAGCUUAACUUGAGAAACACGUGCCGCCACAAGGGUUUAUGGACGCCCUUGGCUGAUUAAUUAGGAAAGCUAGUGGAGGACUACCUUACCCGAAAGGGGCAAGGGCAGUAGGGGAGUGGUCAGUGUAGGGAGGCCCUCGGGAGGAUUUUGCUGCGAUGGCGGUCCUGCAAGGUAUUCCUGCAUUGGAGCUUCAUAUAAACUGUAGCGGGUUUUCUGAAGCUAGUGGAACUUUGUAAAGGCCUCGUAGUGUUACCCUGCCUCGCCUCCUCGGUAGAGGUGUAUGGGAAGUCGCGAUCCCUUGGCAGAUGGGUAACACGACUUGUGGGUAAAGGGUACCACCUCUGCAGAGUGUAAAACUGGUAUACUAGCCGAGCUCACGAUCAUGAGCAGCUCAGGACUCUCUGAUGAUUAAAUUAUGGAACUAAAUUCAAUUUGUCAUAUGCAUUGCAUUGCAGGUGAUGUUGUUACUUUUGUUCUACUAUUUAAUUGGGUUGGUAUUUACUUAUACUUAGUAAUUGCUAAUAAAAUUUUGACCAACUUUAAAAGCAAUGCUCAGCUCUAACCAUCCUCUUUGGUAAGCCUUACACUUCACGUGAGCUCCCACCUUUGGCGAGUUCAUGCACAUUAUUCCCCACAACUUGUUGAGCGAUGAACGUAUGUGAGCUCACUCUUGCUGUCUCACACCCCCCCCCCACAGGUCAAGAACAGGUACCGCAGGAUGAGGCGCAUGGAGGAUGCUGUGAUGAGUUCGUGAGAGGUCUAGGCCGUCGUCUCCCAGUCAACUUUGGGUUGCUGGACCGUUGUCUCCUUAUAAUGUAAUUAUUUAUUUAUUUUGUAUAGAACUCCUAUUAUAUAGUAAAGAUGUGACAUUCGAUCCUGUGCCAUGAUUCAUCAUAUGUGUGAGACUUGGUCCUAGCACACCUGGUGAUUAUGUUUACGCCCA